AUGAUUGAUCAGUAUAAACAUCAACACCUUCAAAUUGGAUCAGUUUCCUAUGAACAAAUAAGUGCUUGGGCAAAAAAAAUCCUACCUAAUGGAGAAAUAGUUGGGGAGGUAACAAAACCCUAUACUCUUCAUUAUAAAACCAAUAAGCCUGAAAAAUAUGGAUUAUUUUGUGAAAGAAUUUUUGGGCCUAUAAAAAGUGGGAUUUGUGCUUGUGGAAAUUAUCAAGUAAUCGAAGAUAAAAAAGACCAACCUCAAUUUUGUGAACAAUGA